CGUUCCCUGAGAAUGGGGGUUGAAUUUGGACCUGCCUUCACCAUCUGCAAACUAAUUAAGGGUCAUUGUUUUCCAGAAUUUUCAACAAAGAACUACAAAUAUUAAUGCAGCCAAAUAUGCAUGUCAUGUAAACGUAAACAAGGGGGUGGGUUUGUUCUGUUAGCCCCAAGUUAAGAUUUUUGUAUUCUAUUUUGUUAGUUUGACUAUCUGAGUUGUGAUUUUCAUGUUUAGCACUCUCCUUAUUUAUGGUGUGUAUGUUUCAGGGCUCCACGAUGGGCUAGUAUGAACCUGGAGAUAUUUAUAUGCUUGCAAUGUUCAGGAUUACAUUGGAGUCUUGGUGUUCAUAUCUCAAAGGCUCCAUCAGCAUAUUGGAAGGGAAAUAAAGAUCGUGAAAGUUUACAAAGAGUGUAUGGGAUACCAUUUCCUUGAUCAAAAAUGAUUGAAGGAACAAACGAUGCAGCUGAAGCGAAAUAUAUAAUUCUCCAGAUAAACAGGGCCGGC